AUCUGUUAUUAACGUUAUAAAUGUCGUGGUUUUGUUGAAAUCGCGUACUACGCUUCUGAAGUUACAUCAGUUCGGGACCAACCAUGAAAAUACUUUUGGUGAUCGCUUUGUUGGUAUCAUCCAUUUGUGCGUUGAAGUUGCCGACGGACACCCAAACAAUGUGGAAUAAUAUUUUUGCACCUUUCGAAACGAAAUGUAUGUGUGAAUUGAAAAUCAAUGACGCCGCAGCCAAUCAACUUUAUAAUUAUGACUGUGUUGCUAAGGUCGCUCCUUUUCCGUGCUUUGUUAGAUGUUUAUUCAAAAAGGCGGGACUGAUAGAUGCUAACAACCGCUUGGUGAGGGCCAAGUGGGUAGAUGCAGGACCUAAAGUCAACGGUACUACAUAUGAUAGGUGUCUAACUUUUUAUCAGUGUGCCGAAACAGAUACAUGCAUUAUUUUAGCAGAUUUUUGGGAAUGUAUGGUAGAUCAUUCACUUGUGGCUUGAUAACUUCAGUAUAUAUCUGUUUCAUGAAUAAUAUUUAAUAAACUGUUAGAACUUGUUUAAAACCAUUCUUUCGAAUUUGCAAUAAAGAUGUACCAGUGUCAGUUUUUAAA